UACGAAGGGGGCUAGCGUUGCUCGGAAUCACUGGGCGUAAAGUGCACGUAGGCGGAUUGCUAAGUCAGGGGUGAAAUCCUGGAGCUCAACUCCAGAACUGCCUUUGAUACUGGGAAGCUCGAGUCCGGAAGAGGUGAGUGGAACUCCGAGUGUAGAGGUGAAAUUCGUAGAUAUUCGGAAGAACACCAGUGGCGAAGGCGGCUCACUGGUCCGGUACUGACGCUGAGGUGCGAAAGCGUGGGGAGCAAACAGG
rnacentral:rRNA from 1 species